rnacentral:misc_RNA from 1 species
GAUGAAGAACUCAGCGAAAUGCGAUAAGUAAUGUGAAUUGCAGAAUUCAGUGAAUCAUCGAAUCUUUGAACGCACCUUGCGCUCCUUGGUAUUCCGAGGAGCAUGCCUGUUUGAGUGUCAUGAAAUUCUCAACCUUUUCAGCUUUCUUUGUUGAUCAGGCUUGGAUGUGGGAGUAUGCGGGCUUCUCAGAAGUCGGCUCUCCUGAAAUGCAUUAGCGGGACCUUUGUUGCCUGGCUUUGGUGUGAUAAUUAUCUACGCCAUUGUAGUCAAGCAGCUUAAAAUGAGGUUUCAGCUUCUAACCGUCUCCCCUGAGACAACUUUUUGACAAUUUGACCUCAAAUCAGGUAGGACUACCCGCUGAACUUAAGCAUAUCAAUAAGCGGAGGA